rnacentral:misc_RNA from 1 species
AAUGCUUCCGUUUUGGCUAACCCUCAUCCUCCUUCAUGUACUUCCAUUUUGUAAUCGGGGUCUCUGCUAGUGAACCUGUCUAGCCCGCUGGCUUCACUUUCAUAAGAAAUGACACUAAUGAUUGCCGUAGAUUUCUUUUCCAGAAGAAAUAAAGUCAAACGCUGGUUGGAAGUAAAUUGGUCACUUGAAUACAGACAUAAUUCUGACAUUGUGUUUUCUGUAAAAGUUGUUAUUGGAUAUUGGCCCAGCAGUGUACAUGAAAAGAUUUGUUAGUAGGUCAAUUUCUCUCCCUGGUAUGACCACCAAGGCCUUAAGGUGGUCUUAUUCCAACCAGGUGCUUACAAUCCCACCAAAACUAAGGUCAUGAAUCACUACAGCCAUGCUGAUUUCCAUGAUUGUCAUCCAAGACAAGAUCAUGAUUGCAUUGAUCAUUUAAAAGCAAGGUUUAAAGUUUGGAAGGUGGAACAACAGCAUUUUCCAAAAGCUAUUUUUAUUACUUCUUUGUGUGAUUGCACAACACAUACAGGUUUUGUGUAUUUGAAAUUUGUUGCACCACUUGCUCUAAUCAGCAAAACCAAUCAUUUUGAGCUGCCAGCUACUUCAGUUUUGGUUUGCUCUCAUUACAGAAAAGUACAUUAAAAUGUGAUUAAGAAUGUCAGCCCUUACAUAUUCAUACAUGUGGAUAAUUUGCUUUAGAGAUUGGGCAGAAUAGUAACUUGUGUAGUUUAUUAACAAUAUUGCAAGCUAUGAGCAUCUUGGAUUCCAUAUUAGACUUGUUUUAAUAUUUUUUCAAUAUUCCAUUUGGAUGGUUAAUGAUGCCAACACUAAAAAAUCCAAAAAGACACAUUGAAAAUGUAAGUCUUCUUUACCUGUGAAUGAUAAAAUAACCAGUAACACAUUCAGCAACUGUUGGCAGCAGUAAACAAAAAAACAAUGAAAAUCGAUCACAAACUACGGUGAACAAUCAACUAAAUAGUUGUAGACAUUCAUACAUUUGUAUGUUAAUGUAAUGUAGUUGUAGUUAAUGUUUUUAAUCAUACUUUUGGCUUGUCAUUGCCAAUCUACAGUGAUUACAUUUUAGGUACGACGUUGCCGAAACCUAUUUCAUCAUCAAGAUGGCUCAAGAAAGAGAAUUUCUGAAAGAAUCUGUAAGCGACCUUCAGAACGUGAUACAUAGCUUAGAGAGUGACAAUUCGCCUCUGAACAGCACCCUACAACUAGUAUCCACCGCAAACCAAUAAUUUCGUCAGGCUUGUAUUGUUGGUGUACUUACAGGCAAUCGGGAACAUCACGGACACCGGGAGCCGUUGAGUUUUUUAUUUAGGUUUUGGAUGUAGUAGCAGUAGCAAGCGCCAGAUUUCGCAGUUGUACCCACUUUUUUGCUCUGAUUGGCUCUCGCAGCCAUUGAAGAUACGAGUCCAACGCAUCAUGCAACGCAACCGGCAUCUAGUGUUUCGUGAAGAAAUCAUAAUUGAUCCGUGCAAGCAAUUAAUUAUGUCAUCAAUAUCUUCCUGUUGGCAAGUUUUUUAUUGUUUAUUAGUGUAAAUAUUGCAAUUUGUUUCUCUUAAUAUUGCAACCAACUAAUUUCCUUUAUUGCACAUGGAUUAACUUUUUUAAA